AACCCUCACUUGAACACAAAAAAAAAGAGAGGGGGAGAUAAAAAGGGAAAGCGACGAACUACACCAGCGAUAAGUGAAAAACAAACUACAUCAAAGACACAAGGGACCUCAUCUCAAUGAGGAAGGAUACUCCUAUCAAAAAACCCUCAGUCACUAAAAGGGAACUCGACACAGGCCGAGGAGAAAUUGACUUCCUCAAAGUAACGAGAAGUUCGGGUCCCCAAGCUCGAGCACCAGGAGGAAGCGUCAAACUCAAAUGGCCUCGAAAAGACCUACGAUCACGACCAAAAAAGACAAAUCAACAUGACGAC
rnacentral:lncRNA from 1 species